rnacentral:rRNA from 1 species
UACAGAGGUCUCAAGCGUUGUUCGGAUUCAUUGGGCGUAAAGGGCGCGUAGGCGGCGAGGUAAGUCGGGUGUGAAAUCUCAGAGCUCAACUCUGAAACUGCGCUCGAUACUGCUUUGCUAGAGGACUGGAGAGGAGAUUGGAAUUCACGGUGUAGCAGUGAAAAUGCGUAGAGAUCGUGAGGAAGACCAGUGGCGAAGGCGGAUCUCUGGACAAUUCCUGACGCUGAGGCGCGAAGGCCAGGGGAGCAAACGGG